rnacentral:lncRNA from 1 species
UAUGGUGGUCUCCAAGAUGGUUUUGAUGGGCCUAUUUGGUAACGCUAGUUUUCAAUCUAUUUCUUCCUCUUUAUUUUAUUAUGAUGUGAAACAUAUUUUUUUGCUCUUAUGUUAUUGUUGUUUGCUAUGAAUGAAAUAGUGAUGAGAAGUUGUGUGAUUAUUGUGUGUGGUGGUCGUGUUGUGAUGAGGUUGUUUGAAUUGUUAGUGAUAUGGUGGU